AACGCUGGCGGCGUGCCUAACACAUGCAAGUCGAACGGAUUUGAGGGGCUUGCUCCUCAAGUUAGUGGCGCACGGGUGAGUAACGCGUAGAUAAUCUGCCUGAUGAUUCGGGAUAACACUUCGAAAGGGGUGCUAAUACCGGAUAAGCCCACGGAGUCUUUGGACUUUGCGGGAAAAGGGGGGGACCUUCGGGCCUUCUGUCAUCAGAUGAGUCUGCGUACCAUUAGCUAGUUGGUAGGGUAAUGGCCUACCAAGGCUACGAUGGUUAGCUGGUUUGAGAGAAUGAUCAGCCACACUGGGACUGAGACACGGCCCAGACUCCUACGGGAGGCAGCAGUGGGGAAUAUUGGACAAUGGGCGAAAGCCUGAUCCAGCAAUGCCGCGUGAGUGAUGAAGGCCUUAGGGUUGUAAAGCUCUUUUGCCAGGGAUGAUAAUGACAGUACCUGGAGAAUAAGCUCCGGCUAACUCCGUGCCAGCAGCCGCGGUAAUACAGAGGGAGCUAGCGUUGUUCGGAAUUACUGGGCGUAAAGCGCGCGUAGGCGGCUUUGUAAGUUAGAGGUGAAAGCCCGGGGCUCAACCCCGGAACUGCCUUUAAGACUGCAUCGCUUGAAUCCGGGAGAGGUGAGUGGAAUUCCGAGUGUAGAGGUGAAAUUCGUAGAUAUUCGGAAGAACACCAGUGGCGAAGGCGGCUCACUGGACCGGCAUUGACGCUGAGGUGCGAAAG
rnacentral:rRNA from 1 species